CCCCGAAAGUGAUGUGCGUAGCCUCUACGCUGCUAGUCGCCUGGUAGGUCCCACUCAAGAUAUGUACAAAUGCCAGGUGCCACGAUAUGAAACCAAGGUCACCAUUGCGAUUACAUGUAGCCGUCCGAUGGUAGAUCCUCGGUGGAUCUCCCCGUAGAUAAGUAAAUGUAAAUUGUGGAACCCAGCAUGGUUGGCUUGCGUAUUCUAUCGAAUUA
rnacentral:lncRNA from 1 species